rnacentral:misc_RNA from 1 species
GCUGGCAAAAUGCUACCACUUACAGCAGGGUGGAGUGCGACAAUAGCAAAAACAAACACGACAAUUAGGGUCAUGACAAUAAAGAAAGUGUUUAAUCCACAGUCCUGUCCAGAUGGUGUGAACCAAUGGAAGAGAAAUCCCGAGAAGACAAAUGUUGCCAAAUAACAGACAAGCGAAACAACAAAUAGAGCAAUAUACCAGAAUUGUUCAUCAUA